GACGAACGCUGGCGGCGUGCCUAAUACAUGCAAGUCGAACGAGAGCGACCGGUGCUUGCUCUGGUCAAUCUAGUGGCGGACGGGUGAGUAACACGUGGGUAACCUGCCCAUCAGAGGGGGAUAACAUCCGGAAACGGGUGCUAAAACCGCAUAGGUCUUCGAACCGCAUGGUUUGAAGAGGAAAAGCGGCGCAAGCUUCUGCUGAUGGUUGGACCCGCGGUGCAUUAGCUAGUUGGUAAGGUAACGGCUCACCAAGGCCGUGAUGCGUAGCCGACCUGAGAGGGUGAUCGGCCACAUUGGAACUGAGACACGGCCCAGACUCCUACGGGAGGCAGCAGUAGGGAAUCUUCCGCAAUGGACGCAAGUCUGACGGAGCAACGCCGCGUGAGUGAAGAAGGUUUUCGGAUCGUAAAACUCUGUUGUUAGGGAAGAACAAGUGCUAGAGUAACUGUUAGCGCCUUGACGGUAUCUAACCAGAAAGCCACGGCUAACUACGUG
rnacentral:rRNA from 1 species